UUUAAUCGUAGCCAUAAGUUUUCGUGUCCAACUUUAAUCAUCCCUCUUAUUUGAAAUUUUGUAUGAUUAGCAUUUUUAUUGUUAUUAGGUGAUAAACCAUGAAUAAUACUUUAUACAUGAGUGCGUGACUUAUGCUUUUUAAUUUGGUAAAAAAAUUAAAUAGGACAGACGAUUAAAAUUGGACACGGAAACUCAUGGCUACGUUUAAA
rfam:Oryza meridionalis cultivar OR44 (W2112) chromosome 4, whole genome shotgun sequence.